UACAACAUAGCGUUAAUGCAUCAGAUCCCAUUAGAACUCCGUAGUUAAGUGAGGUCAUGCUAGAAUAGUACUGGGAUGAGUGACCUCCCAAGAAGACCUAGUGUUUUAA
rfam:Picea glauca, whole genome shotgun sequence.